rnacentral:rRNA from 1 species
GACGAACGCUGGCGGCGUGCCUAAUACAUGCAAGUUGAGCGCUGAAGGUUGGUACUUGUACCAACUGGAUGAGCAGCGAACGGGUGAGUAACGCGUGGGGAAUCUGCCUUUGGGCGGGGGACAACAUUUGGAAACGAAUGCUAAUACCGCAUAAAAACUUUAAACACAAGUUUUAAGUUUGAAAGAUGCCAUUGCAUCACUCAAAGAUGAUCCCGCGUUGUAUUAGCUAGUUGGUGAGGUAAAGGCUCACCAAGGCGAUGAUACAUAGCCGACCUGAGAGGGUGAUCGGCCACAUUGGGACUGAGACACGGCCCAAACUCCUACGGGAGGCAGCAGUAGGGAAUCUUCGGCAAUGGACGAAAGUCUGACCGAGCAACGCCGCGUGAGUGAAGAAGGUUUUCGGAUCGUAAAACUCUGUUGGUAGAGAAGAACGUUGGUGAGAGUGGAAAGCUCAUCAAGUGACGGUAACUACCCAGAAAGGGACGGCUAACUACGUG